CCACUGUGGAUGCUCUUGGGAUUCGUGUAAAAUCAUCCAAGGUAAAAAUAACUGAAGAAAAAUUGCUUGAUGUAAUUUGGUGAGAAUUGAUGGAAGGCAUGAUUUGAGAUUCCAAUCGAGAGUUUCAAUAUCAGGUUUUAUGGUUUCAGAUUCAUAGUUUAAAUAUCAGGUGAACCGAUUGGCCUAGCUACCAAAAUUAUCAAAGCUAUGUUUGCGAAAGUGAAUCUACAAGUCUCUAACCUCGGUUUCAGCAUGGUCACUGCAAUGCGUUCGCAAGAUUCUCUAAUGAGAACCCCUCCUAUUCCACAGAACGAUGAAUGGCCAGUUGUAUGAAUACCGUUGAAUCCUCCAUAAAUGCAGCCAAUACAAAAUUCAGCACCUCCACUACCUGGUAGAAAAUUGUGUGCCUCCACCAAUGGUUUUAAUACAAAUUUCAGCACAUUCAAUGACGUCUGGAGCUUCCACCUACGUUUCCAGUGAAAAGUUCAACACACAGAACCGCCCCCAAUGACGUUGUGGCCAGUACAAAAUUCAAUACCUCCUCAAACUUUCCUAGAACUCAUCACGGCCCUUUGUAUUGCUGAUACAAAAUUUACUAGUGCCUCCACCAAUGUUUCUGAUACAAAUUUCUGGUCUCCACCAAUGUUUACGAUACAAAAUUCAUCACUGUCACUGACGUCGCCAGCAUGCAUUCAAGCAGCACCACCAAUGCCCCCUCUGAACCAGCAGUACGAAUCAUACAUUAACACUGUAGUGGUAGACUCAUGUUGUUACUCCCGUAUCAGCACCUCCUUCCAGAGUCGGUUAGCAGAACAUGAGUCUAUGGGACAUAAUAAUGUCCCUGCAUCAAUCGACGGUUGUUAAUAUUACAAGAAAAAAAAGCUGAGUUCUUUUGCAUCUUUAAUAUGUUAUUUUAAAUCGACGGUUGUGGUUAUCCCCUUAAACACAAUCUCAUUAACUCUACCUUAAUGAAAUUUAAUUUAUUAUGUUCUCUUAUUCUCGACGAUGGUUUUGACUUUUCAGUGUUCCAAACCGGCAAACCCAAAUACGAUCUUAGAGUAAGGAAACCAAAAGGAAGAUGUAUCCUUCUAUCUUCUCCAAGUUGGCGCAGCUUCCUGAGUAGCUAAAUUGGAGUAAGGAUGAGAAACCUGAGGGGGCAUGUGAAUGUGUCAAAAUAAAGCAAACUCCGAGGCUUCACCUCCAAAAAUUACUGCAGGCGCAUGGAACUUAUUUGCAAUGGGCUUGCUCCAAUUCAGGAAUAAAUCUAGGAUGAAGUUAAGCACAACGCCUCCUUGAUCUACACGUAUGUCGUUUCAUUGUUGUGGUGAUGAAUGCUAUAAACGCCUCAUUCAUUUAAUGCAUUUUUCAGACGAUAACAGGGAAGAUGGAAUCCAUUUGUUUUUCAUACCAUUGGAAGAAAUCUAUGCCGCCUUAUUCUUUAGGGAUUAGAGAGAUCCGAGCGUAGGAAUUUUUUCCUAGUGUGGUGAGUAUUCGGGAAGUUUAUUUCUUUUGAAAAACUUACUGAUACAAUGAUACUAUAUAGCCAAGGAUUUGUUCUUUUACAGAAAAUUAGGGUUUUUAUCGAAUAUAAUUUGCUUUUAUUCUCAGCUAAAGACUUAAAAGGGUAUAUUUCUCAAAAA